rnacentral:sRNA from 1 species
GCUGGGCGUGGUUGCCCGAGCCUGUACUCCCAGUGGCUUGGAAGGCUGAGGCAGGAGGAUCACAAGCUCAAGGCCAGCCUCAGCAACUUAGUGAGGCCCUAAGCAAUUUAGUAAGACCCUGUCUCAA